GUGCUCACUUUGGCAGCACAUAUACUAAAAUUGGAACGAUGGAGAAGAUUAGCAUGGCCACUGCGCAAGAAUGACAUGCAAAUUCAUGAAGCGUUCCAUAAUUUU
rnacentral:snRNA from 1 species